UCACUUUUUGUCUUUCUUCCAACAACAAGUGUUUUGCCUUGUAAAAGCACAACGUUGACCACUGACAGGCUACGCACGCCCGUUUUACAGCUUAUACUCACUUCACGCUUAAUCUACACAGGCAAACAAAUUACUUAUUUGAUGGCAGGAUUUUUGCUAAAAUAUUCUAAAUCAAGCAGUCAGUGGGUGGAAGAAAAAUACCGUCUUUGAAUAGUAGAUAUGUGAUGAACUUUGCUCAGAAACAUGAAACCUUGAACACAAUGUACAGAAUCUACUCGGAAGACGCCAAGGAUCGCUAUGUCAAAAACAAGUAUUGCUUAGCAAUAGUAUCAUUUCAAGGAAAUCCAUAACUAUUGAAAAUUUGAAACUGUUGUAGAAUGUAGCUAGAGUUUCUUGUCGAGGCCAUUAUAUGGUUGAAUGUCAUGGAUGAAGUCGCAAGUUUUACCAUAAACUUCACUCUUAAAAAAAUAGCUUGAAACUACACAUGAAAUUGAUACUAAACUCAAGAAGUCUUCAUUUUUCAAUAUAUAUGCGCACUUUAAUGUUUCUUGGAACUAUCAUACA